GCCUGGGUGGCUCAGUCGGUUGAGCGUCUGACUUCAGCUCAGGUCAUGAUCUCACAGCUCGUGAGUUCGAGCCUCGCAUCGGGCU
rnacentral:tRNA from 1 species